rnacentral:rRNA from 1 species
GACGAACGCUGGCGGCGUGCCUAAUACAUGCAAGUAGAACGCUGAAGGAGGAGCUUGCUCUUCUGGAUGAGUUGCGAACGGGUGAGUAACGCGUAGGUAACCUGCCUGGUAGCGGGGGAUAACUAUUGGAAACGAUAGCUAAUACCGCAUAACAGUAGAUGUUGCAUGACAUUUGCUUAAAAGGUGCAAUUGCACCACUACCAGAUGGACCUGCGUUGUAUUAGCUAGUUGGUGGGGUAACGGCUCACCAAGGCGACGAUACAUAGCCGACCUGAGAGGGGGAACGGCCACACUGGGACUGAGACACGGCCCAGACUCCUACGGGAGGCAGCAGUAGGGAAUCUUCGGCAAUGGACGGAAGGCUGAACGAGCAACGCCGCGUGAGGGAAGAAGGGUUUCGGAUCGGAAAGCUCUGUUGUAAGAGAAGAACGAGUGUGAGAGUGGAAAGUUCACACUGUGACGGUAUCUUACCAGAAAGGGACGGCUAACUACGUG